rfam:Ricinus communis cultivar Hale ctg_1100012362047, whole genome shotgun sequence.
AAUCCAUGAUAUGGGCAUUGCAAUAAAAGUGAUUUGAAGCAAUCUCAUGCUUCAUGAAAAGAUUCAGCAUCCUUUUGAUAAAAAUCAGAAAUUUUAGCUCUUAAUUCU